rnacentral:rRNA from 1 species
AAGCAACGCGCAGAACCUUACCAACCCUUGACAUGUCCAGUAUGGGUUUCGAGAGAUGAGACCCUUCAGUUCGGCUGGCUGGAACACAGGUGCUGCAUGGCUGUCGUCAGCUCGUGUCGUGAGAUGUUGGGUUAAGUCCCGCAACGAGCGCAACCCUCGCCCUUAGUUGCCAUCAUUUAGUUGGGCACUCUAGGGGGACUGCCGGUGAUAAGCCGCGAGGAAGGUGGGGAUGACGUCAAGUCCUCAUGGCCCUUACGGGUUGGGCUACACACGUGCUACAAUGGCGGUGACAGUGGGAUGCAAAGGGGUGACCCUACGCAAAUCUCAAAAAGCCGUCUCAGUUCGGAUUGGGGUCUGCAACUCGACCCCAUGAAGUCGGAAUCGCUAGUAAUCGUGGAUCAGCAUGCCACGGUGAAUACGUUCCCGGGCCUU